AGCUUGCGCUCUGACUCUGUCCGCGUGAAAAAACAUAUCCGUCCGUGAUAGCAGCAGAAUACAUCCACAGAGCCGGAAUCCCCUCAGCCUCAAGCCUGCCUCUCUGCUGCUUCUCUCCCCUCGAUAAAUAAACUACAAAGCCCGGACUCCCCUCACGGUAAGUAGGGGUAACCCGCGUCUAAUCAGCAUCAUAUGGCCAGACCGGGGCUCCGGUUUUCUUCCCCGUGCCAUAACAUCGCGCAGUAUUAUGCGCCCCGCUCACGUGACGCAACGUCAACUUAAAUCCCUUUUAUUUGAGCCCGUGAAUCAUUAAUGGAGGCAGUCAUUGCCCCUGAGGAGAAACGGAUCAGUUUGGAGGGAGAAAAAAGAGGGCUGUGUGACACUGCAAUGUAUCUGGCAGAGGAGCAGGUCUCUCGCAGAGAAGCAGCUUUUCCACGUGUCGCCCAUUCAGGGGGAAAGACUGCUCUGUCAGUUUUAAAGUGCCAUAUAUUCUGUGCCUGUUAGCGGCUGAAAGAGCUAAUCCUGUUGUAUUAUGCCGAGUUUCAAGUGCAGCCACGGCUCCGAGCCAGGCUAAAAGCGGAGUGUUUUACACUGCAGUGUGAUAAUUCGCACUAUGUCAGACGGAGAGGGCUUCUCCACGCAAAAUGCGAUUUAGAGCACAGUAUAAUAAUUCCUCAUCAUUCCUCCUUCCUCUUUACAGCACAGCCGGGGCUACACUCAGCCUUACUCACUAUCGCCCCCCGCCCUCAGACCCACAGUGAGGUUGUAGCACCACUUAAUGUGCCAAUGGUUCUCCAUCAGCAAAAGCCUGCAUGCUUUGGACCAAACUGAAAACAGAAGUCACGCAUUUACCUGUCCUACGUAAGGAGGCUGUGCGUCCUGGUGGUCGUAGGGGGAGUGUGUCAGUCAGCAGUGGGCGGAAAGUGGAGGUGAGAGAACCAAAGAGUGGCUGCUCGACCCCGCUGAUCAGAACAUGGACCCCCAUUCGACCUACAUGCGCUUACGCGUUUCCUACCAGCUGAGGGAAAUUACAGGUUUGUGUGGAGGAAGUUUGGAGAUUUUGGACAGAGGGGGGGAGGAGGGAAUGAUAGAAAAAGUGCCAACUGAGCCAAAAUCCUUCUGCAAUUUCCCUGAAACUCAAAGUUAUAAACUAAAUUCCGUCGCGAAAGCGUGCCACGCGUGUGCCAUGGAGGAUUUCUGGCUUGUGCCACUGCAGGUUUUGCCAGAAGUCUCAGCCCGGAAGAGCUUCUCUCAACUCGGCACCGUUUGGCGCUUGUUUUCCGUCAACACCGAGCGGCGGGCGUGGAAAAAUCCCACCACAACUAUUAAUCAUGUGGGGCGGACAUAGACAGCAUCCCACUCCCACACCAGCCUUUGUCCUCUCGAAGUACAAGUUGGGCGGCAAACUUUUUAAAGACUGGAACAGAAGUGGAGCUGCUCUUAUUAAUUCACCCUCAGUACUCCAGAAAGAGAAGAAUAUUGAUGAUUUAGAGUUUGGGUUCAAGUUUUACGCACGGAGUUAAAACGCAUGAUAAUGAAAGUAUGAAAGUAGGACUAAUUCUGAUUUGAAACUUGAGGUUUUGACGUUUGUAUUUUGUUCUCCUUUUGUCAUCUGCAGGUAGAGCUGUGGGUUGGACGGCAUGACUGCACACUGGAAGCUAAUCCCUCGCUGCCUUUCGCCAGCGCACCUGAACUCUUCCCUGACCCGGGCAGAGGCUUUAUAGGGAGUCGAGUGGGAAGUUAUUUGGAGUUCAAAAACAAGCUGAAGCUGGAAACCAAAAAGGCCUCAGCUAGAAGCAGACGUAUUUUACUUUUUUUGCACUACAAGACUUAUCUCUUGCUUGAAAAGUUGUUCUUGAUUGAUUACAUUUCAGACCUUGGCUGUUUUAGCAUUGAAAACUUUCAGAUUUAUUUACACAAAUCAGGGCUCCUUAUCAUUGUCAGCGAAGAGGAGCUAAAGGCACAGACCUCUGGAUGUUGGCCAGGCAGAAGUCCAUAUCUUCCCACAAUGUUGACACUCGGAGCUCUCAACAGGCAGGCGUGGGUUAAAGAUACUUUCAACUGGAGAUAAAAACUCUGUGAGGUUUACAGCGGCCAACAUCAAGGCUAACGCGAAACUCGGCGCUUUUGCAGAAAGUGGAGACGUCUCUAAGGAGGACCAGGGUGGCGUAAAUGUUUGCGUAAAGUUGGUAAUAAUAAAGUAUUUUGAAUAUUCUUGCUGAA
rnacentral:lncRNA from 1 species